AACGAUUUACAAUACUAGACCUAACAAACUCACAAAUUUUGGCUAGUGGCCUACGGGCUCAACCUCCAUACAAAAGAUGUAUGAAAGGGACCCUCAAGUAUGGAACAAGCAAGCAAGCAAAACUAAAACAUGAGAGAGCAGGGCAAGUCCUGGUGGGAGGAGGAAGGAGAACUUCCUCCGCUCUCCCAAAUCUAUUUAUCUUCUCUCUAUUGUUCCCAAAGCUCCGGUUAACAUAAGCAUUGGAGGAUCUCCCAUUAGAACACCCCCAGUGAGUGUGGACUUUCUUUGCAGGUACCACCCAUAUCAGCACCGCCCUAGAGCCCUGCGGUAAUAGGGUGGUAAUUAUACCAUGUCAGGUCACAUACCAUACAGAUCAAAUCAAAUGCAUGUUUAAUAAAAAAUUAUAAGUUUGAACCUGAAUUAUUUCAUAAAUAGAUCAAUAUUUGAAACCCAAACCUGUUAUUCUUAAUAAGUAAGUAACCUAAUCCGACUUGCUUAAUUUGUUUAAUAAAUAGGUCAUAUCAUUUAGCUUAUCGAUAAAUGUAUCAAAAUUUCCAUCCACCAUCUCAAAAAAAUCCCCCAAAUAAAUCAAGAAACCAUGCAAAGAACUAAGAAACUGAUCAAGUUCUUUGAUUUCAGACAUUUAGGGAGAAAACAUGAAGAGAAUAAGCAAAAGAGGAAAAAAAGCUUACAAGGAGAUACAGAAUAUAAUCCAUGAGGUGCAUAACAUCUUCAAGAAUGAUCUAGCUUUCGGAUUGAUUUUGCUCUCCAACCGUAUCUUUCUUCUAGAUUGGAGCUUUAAAUUGUU
rnacentral:lncRNA from 1 species